AUGGAGCAUCUGGCCUCUUUACGAAAAAUGUCCUCUAUGCUUGCAAGCCAUCAAGUAACCGGCAAGCUUCUGGGUACGAAGCAAGCGUGCACACCUGUGCAUGCCUACAUGCAUGAUCCCCACAGAUUCCUUCACGGGACCGAUUCCGAUCGUCGGGAGCCCAGCGCUAGGCACAUUCGGGUUCGAUCAGGCUCCCCAAAGCGCACGAUUGUAGUCAAAGGCCCCUUUUUACCCCACAGGAACCCCCCCCCCUUUCCCACCCACCCCGCUUCAGAGGCCCGAGCAGCGGCCGUGGCUCUUACCCUCUUCGAGGGCCUGGCUGGCGGCUUCGCUGGCUUCCCGCAGCUGCCCUUGCACGAGCAUCUCUCCGAGGCGCCGCCAGGUGCGAGCCCUCUUGCACUCCUCCGAGAACCACUUCUCCGCCAGGUGUCCCAGCGCGACGGCGACGGGCGACGAAGCCAGCGGGUCCCCGCAGCGGCGGCAGCGGGCGCGGAGGUGCUCGUGGACGCAGCGGCGGCAGUAGGCGUGCCCGCACGGCGCCACCACCGGCUCGCCGAGGAAGCCCUCGCAGCCGGGGCAGCGGAAGAGCCCCGCCGCCGCCGCGGAGGAGCCGUCUUCCCGGCCGGCGGUCCCUUGCUGCUCCUCCGCCGCCGCCGCUCUCCCUCCGCUGCCUUCCCUCGGCGCCUCGCCCGCUCUCUCGCCGCUCUGCCGGAGGCGGUAGUGCAGCACCAGGCAGUCCACCAGCGCGCCCAGGCGGCGGCGGGAGCUGGGCGAGCCCAGGCGCAGCGCCGCCGAGUAAGUCUCCAGAGCCUCUUUCAGGUGGUUGCCCAGCGCCAGGAGCUCCCCGCGACGGAGCAGGAGCUCCCGCUCCGAAUGGGUGCCGCUGCCCCCCGGCUCGGGGGCCGACUCAGGAACCGGCGAAGACGCCAUUUCCACUCCACGUCCGGCUCACCGGAGGGGGUGUGGCGCGCGACCCCCGAGCGCCGCCGCUUCUCUGAGAACAGAUAAGGAAAGUUAUCUGGCUGAACUGAAUAGUUACAAAGAACCAAGUGUAAAAGUCAGCAUUCAUCAUCAAAGCCCCCUGAAGAAGAAAAACUUGUUAAAGAUAGAAUCUGUGCAAUCAGGAGCAACUUGGACUAGGAGAGGAAAUGCAAAGGAGGAAACUGAAACUACUAAUGAUGCCAAGUGAUAACAACAUAACAACUCUGCAAAUAACAGAAUCAAAGCAGGUAUGUAAACACUUUUUCAUUUCAGUUCUUAAGAGGAGAAUCCAAAUGGUAAACAUGAGAUUAUUUGCAACCACAAUGACCUCACCAUGAGAUCUUCCAAUACUAUACAGUACUGAUAAAUACUAUAAUGAUAAAACUUCCAAAACACUACACCUUCCCCUUCAGAGGUUGAAGUGAGCUCAAGUGAUUAAGAGCUCUCAAUCAAAAACAGGGAAAUGCAUUUAAUCCAGUGUUUCCCAACCACUGUUCCACGGCACACUAGUGUGCCGCGAGAUGUUGCCUGGUGUGCCGUGGGGAAAAUUCGAAAGAUUUUUUUUUUUUUGUAAAAGUCAAAUUAGGUCCUAAUCUAUCCCUCGAGCGCCUCUUGUCCGUUAUUGUGACGCAUGAAGCGUGUUCCCGCCCACUCCCCGCCCUCCCUUGCUUCUCUCUCUCUCUCUGUGGCGUUCUCCGCCGCUUCCUGCUGGGCAUGCGCAGCUCGCCUCGCGCUUCCAUUCCGGCCCCUCCUUCCCCCGACUACCCCGCCGCUCCGUUCCUUUCUCUUUCUCGCGUGUCAGAGAGCGGCGGCGCGAGCGCGGCGGUUCCCUCAGGGCUGACGGAGGGCUCGAGGAGGAGGAGGCAGGACGUGGAGGCGGAGAAAGCGGCGGCGGCCACCCCCCACCUCCGGCUCGAGGCCCGCGUAGAAAGCUGAGGGGGAGAGAUAGAUAGAGGUGGGCGGCGGCGGCGGCGGCGACCACGACCAACCGCCACAGUAGUUGUAGCGGUGGCGACGGCGAGCAGGGACUCCCGCUCUCUCUCCGUCGUGUCUCUCUC
rnacentral:lncRNA from 1 species